rnacentral:rRNA from 1 species
UACGGAGGGUGCGAGCGUUAUCCGGAAUCACUGGGUUUAAAGGGUGCGUAGGCGGCGAGGUAAGUCAGUUGUGAAAUUCCCCGGCUCAACCGGCGGGACUGCGAUUGAUACUGCUUUGCUUGAAACAGGUUGAGGUAAGCGGAAUGUGACAUGUAGCGGUGAAAUGCAUAGAUAUGUCAUAGAACACCGAUUGCGAAGGCAGCUUGCUGGGCCUGAUUUGACGCUGAGGCACGAAAGCGUGGGGAGCAAACAGG